rnacentral:rRNA from 1 species
GGCAGAGGUGCCGAGCGUUAGGCGGAAUCACUGGGCGUAAAGCGCGGGCAGGCGGCUCGAAACGUCUGAUGUGAAAUCUCCUCGCUCAACGGGGAGAGGCCAUUGGAAACGGUCGGGCUGGAGGGCAGUAGAGGCAGGCGGAAUUCCGGGUGGAGUGGUGAAAUGCGUAGAGAUCCGGAGGAACACCAGAGGCGAAGGCGGCCUGCUGGGCUGCACCUGACGCUGAACCGCGAAAGCCAGGGGAGCGAACGGG